CGUUGAAACACUGGUUCGUGUACGAUCACCGAAGUUAAGCAACAUCGAGUCUGAUCAGUUCCUAGAUGGGUGACCGCUUGGGAAGACCAAGUGCU